rnacentral:rRNA from 1 species
GAAGGUGGCCUGUGAGGGUUGCUGGAGGUAUCAGAAGUGCGAAUGCUGACAUAAGUAACGAUAAAGCGGGUGAAAAGCCCGCUCGCCGGAAGACCAAGGGUUCCUGUCCAACGUUAAUCGGGGCAGGGUGAGUCGACCCCUAAGGCGAGGCCGAAAGGCGUAGUCGAUGGGAAACGGGUUAAUAUUCCCGUACUUGGUGUUACUGCGAAGGGGGGACGGAGAAGGCUAUGUUGGCCGGGCGACGGUUGUCCCGGUUUAAGCGUGUAGGUGUGUGUUCCAGGUAAAUCCGGUUCACUUUAACACUGAGGCGUGACGACGAGGCACUACGGUGCUGAAGCAACAAAUGCCCUGCUUCCAGGAAAAGCCUCUAAGCAUCAGGUAACAUCAAAUCGUACCCCAAACCGACACAGGUGGUCAGGUAGAGAAUACCAAGGCGCUUGAGAGAACUCGGGUGAAGGAACUAGGCAAAAUGGUGCCGUAACUUCGGGAGAAGGCACGCUGACACGUAGGUGAAGUGAUUUACUCAUGGAGCUGAAGUCAGUCGAAGAUACCAGCUGGCUGCAACUGUUUAUUAAAAACACAGCACUGUGCAAACACGAAAGUGGACGUAUACGGUGUGACGCCUGCCCGGUGCCGGAAGGUUAAUUGAUGGGGUCAGCGCAAGCGAAGCUCCUGAUCGAAGCCCCGGUAAACGGCGGCCGUAACUAUAACGGUCCUAAGGUAGCGAAAUUCCUUGUCGGGUAAGUUCCGACCUGCACGAAUGGCGUAAUGAUGGCCAGGCUGUCUCCACCCGAGACUCAGUGAAAUUGAACUCGCUGUGAAGAUGCAGUGUACCCGCGGCAAGACGGAAAGACCCCGUGAACCUUUACUAUAGCUUGACACUGAACAUUGAGCCUUGAUGUGUAGGAUAGGUGGGAGGCUUUGAAGUGUGGACGCCAGUCUGCAUGGAGCCGACCUUGAAAUACCACCCUUUAAUGUUUGAUGUUCUAACGUGGACCCGUAAUCCGGGUUGCGGACAGUGUCUGGUGGGUAGUUUGACUGGGGCGGUCUCCUCCUAAAGAGUAACGGAGGAGCACGAAGGUUGGCUAAUCCUGGUCGGACAUCAGGAGGUUAGUGCAAUGGCAUAAGCCAGCUUGACUGCGAGCGUGACGGCGCGAGCAGGUGCGAAAGCAGGUCAUAGUGAUCCGGUGGUUCUGAAUGGAAGGGCCAUCGCUCAACGGAUAAAAGGUACUCCGGGGAUAACAGGCUGAUACCGCCCAAGAGUUCAUAUCGACGGCGGUGUUUGGCACCUCGAUGUCGGCUCAUCACAUCCUGGGGCUGAAGUAGGUCCCAAGGGUAUGGCUGUUCGCCAUUUAAAGUGGUACGCGAGCUGGGUUUAGAACGUCGUGAGACAGUUCGGUCCCUAUCUGCCGUGGGCGCUGGAGAACUGAGGGGGGCUGCUCCUAGUACGAGAGGACCGGAGUGGACGCAUCACUGGUGUUCGGGUUGUCAUGCCAAUGGCACUGCCCGGUAGCUAAAUGCGGAAGAGAUAAGUGCUGAAAGCAUCUAAGCACGAAACUUGCCCCGAGAUGAGUUCUCCCUGAGACUUAGAGUCUCCUGAAGGAACGUUGAAGACGACGACGUUGAUAGGCCGGGUGUGUAAG